GGGUUGUGAGGUUAAGCGACUAAGCGUACACGGUGGAUGCCCUGGCAGUCAGAGGCGAUGAAGGGCGUGCUAAUCUGCGAUAAGCGCCGGUAAGGUGAUAUGAACCGUUAUAACCGGCGAUACCCGAAUGGGGAAACCCAGUGUGAUUCGUCACACUAUCAUUAACUGAAUCCAUAGGUUAAUGAGGCGAACCGGGGGAACUGAAACAUCUAAGUACCCCGAGGAAAAGAAAUCAACCGAGAUUCCCCCAGUAGCGGCGAGCGAACGGGGAGGAGCCCAGAGCCUGAAUCAGCAUGUGUGUUAGUGGAAGCGUCUGGAAAGGCGCGCGAUACAGGGUGACAGCCCCGUACACAAAAGCGCAUGUGCUGUGAGCUCGAUGAGUAGGGCGGGACACGUGGUAUCCUGUCUGAAUAUGGGGGGACCAUCCUCCAAGGCUAAAUACUCCUGACUGACCGAUAGUGAACCAGUACCGUGAGGGAAAGGCGAAAAGAACCCCGGCGAGGGGAGUGAAAAAGAACCUGAAACCGUGUACGUACAAGCAGUGGGAGCACAGGUUUACCUGUGUGACUGCGUACCUUUUGUAUAAUGGGUCAGCGACUUAUAUUCUGUAGCAAGGUUAACCGUAUAGGGGAGCCGGAGGGAAACCGAGUCUUAACCGGGCGUUAAGUUGCAGGGUAUAGACCCGAAACCCGGUGAUCUAGCCAUGGGCAGGUUGAAGGUUGGGUAACACUAACUGGAGGACCGAACCGACUAAUGUUGAAAAAUUAGCGGAUGACCUGUGGCUGGGGGUGAAAGGCCAAUCAAACCGGGAGAUAGCUGGUUCUCCCCGAAAGCUAUUUAGGUAGCGCCUCGUGAAUUCAUCUCCGGGGGUAGAGCACUGUUUCGGCUAGGGGGCCAUCCCGGCUUACCAACCCGAUGCAAACUGCGAAUACCGGAGAAUGUUAUCACGGGAGACACACGGCGGGUGCUAACGUCCGUCGUGAAGAGGGAAACAACCCAGACCGCCAGCUAAGGUCCCAAAGUCAUGGUUAAGUGGGAAACGAUGUGGGAAGGCCCAGACAGCCAGGAUGUUGGCUUAGAAGCAGCCAUCAUUUAAAGAAAGCGUAAUAGCUCACUGGUCGAGUCGGCCUGCGCGGAAGAUGUAACGGGGCUAAACCAUGCACCGAAGCUGCGGCAGCGACGUUUAUGUGUUGUUGGGUAGGGGAGCGUUCUGUAAGCCUGCGAAGGUGGCCUGUGAGGGUUGCUGGAGGUAUCAGAAGUGCGAAUGCUGACAUAAGUAACGAUAAAGCGGGUGAAAAGCCCGCUCGCCGGAAGACCAAGGGUUCCUGUCCAACGUUAAUCGGGGCAGGGUGAGUCGACCCCUAAGGCGAGGCCGAAAGGCGUAGUCGAUGGGAAACGGGUUAAUAUUCCCGUACUUGGUGUUACUGCGAAGGGGGGACGGAGAAGGCUAUGUUGGCCGGGCGACGGUUGUCCCGGUUUAAGCGUGUAGGCUGGUUUUCCAGGCAAAUCCGGAAAAUCAAGGCUGAGGCGUGACGACGAGGCACUACGGUGCUGAAGCAACAAAUGCCCUGCUUCCAGGAAAAGCCUCUAAGCAUCAGGUAACAUCAAAUCGUACCCCAAACCGACACAGGUGGUCAGGUAGAGAAUACCAAGGCGCUUGAGAGAACUCGGGUGAAGGAACUAGGCAAAAUGGUGCCGUAACUUCGGGAGAAGGCACGCUGACACGUAGGUGAAGUGAUUUACUCAUGGAGCUGAAGUCAGUCGAAGAUACCAGCUGGCUGCAACUGUUUAUUAAAAACACAGCACUGUGCAAACACGAAAGUGGACGUAUACGGUGUGACGCCUGCCCGGUGCCGGAAGGUUAAUUGAUGGGGUCAGCGCAAGCGAAGCUCCUGAUCGAAGCCCCGGUAAACGGCGGCCGUAACUAUAACGGUCCUAAGGUAGCGAAAUUCCUUGUCGGGUAAGUUCCGACCUGCACGAAUGGCGUAAUGAUGGCCAGGCUGUCUCCACCCGAGACUCAGUGAAAUUGAACUCGCUGUGAAGAUGCAGUGUACCCGCGGCAAGACGGAAAGACCCCGUGAACCUUUACUAUAGCUUGACACUGAACAUUGAGCCUUGAUGUGUAGGAUAGGUGGGAGGCUUUGAAGCGUGGACGCCAGUCUGCGUGGAGCCGACCUUGAAAUACCACCCUUUAAUGUUUGAUGUUCUAACGUGGACCCGUAAUCCGGGUUGCGGACAGUGUCUGGUGGGUAGUUUGACUGGGGCGGUCUCCUCCUAAAGAGUAACGGAGGAGCACGAAGGUUGGCUAAUCCUGGUCGGACAUCAGGAGGUUAGUGCAAUGGCAUAAGCCAGCUUGACUGCGAGCGUGACGGCGCGAGCAGGUGCGAAAGCAGGUCAUAGUGAUCCGGUGGUUCUGAAUGGAAGGGCCAUCGCUCAACGGAUAAAAGGUACUCCGGGGAUAACAGGCUGAUACCGCCCAAGAGUUCAUAUCGACGGCGGUGUUUGGCACCUCGAUGUCGGCUCAUCACAUCCUGGGGCUGAAGUAGGUCCCAAGGGUAUGGCUGUUCGCCAUUUAAAGUGGUACGCGAGCUGGGUUUAGAACGUCGUGAGACAGUUCGGUCCCUAUCUGCCGUGGGCGCUGGAGAACUGAGGGGGGCUGCUCCUAGUACGAGAGGACCGGAGUGGACGCAUCACUGGUGUUCGGGUUGUCAUGCCAAUGGCACUGCCCGGUAGCUAAAUGCGGAAGAGAUAAGUGCUGAAAGCAUCUAAGCACGAAACUUGCCCCGAGAUGAGUUCUCCCUGAGACUUAGAGUCUCCUGAAGGAACGUUGAAGACGACGACGUUGAUAGGCCGGGUGUGUAAGCGCAGCGAUGCGUUGAGCUAACCGGUACUAAUGAACCGUGAGGCUUAACCUUACAACGCCGAAG
rnacentral:rRNA from 1 species